rnacentral:rRNA from 1 species
GACGAACGCUGGCGGCGUGCCUAAUACAUGCAAGUCGAGCGGAUGAAAGAGGAGCUUGCCCCUCCUGAUUCAGCGGCGGACGGGUGAGUAACACGUGGGCAACCUGCCCUGUAGAUUGGGAUAACUCCGGGAAACCGGGGCUAAUACCGAAUAAUCCUUCGGACCUCAUGGUCCGAUGUUGAAAGACGGCAUCUCGCUGUCACUACAGGAUGGGCCCGCGGCGCAUUAGCUAGUUGGUGAGGUAACGGCUCACCAAGGCGACGGUGCGUAGCCGACCGGAGAGGGUGAUCGUCCACACUGGGACUGGGAAACGGCCCAGACUCCUACGGGAGGCAGCAGUAGGGAAUCUUCCACAAUGGACGAAAGUCUGAUGUAGCAACGCCGCGUGAGUGAAGAAGGUUCUCGGAUCGUAAAACUCUGUUGUGAGGGAAGAACAAGUACCGGAGUAACUGCCGGUGCCUUGACGGUACCUCAUUAGAAAGCCACGGCUAACUACGUGCCAGCCGCCGCCGUAAUAC